GAUGAACGCUGGCGGCGUGCCUAAUACAUGCAAGUCGAGCGAACAGACGAGUAGCUUGCUCCUCUGACGUUAGCGACGGACGGGUGAGUAACACGUGGAUAACCUACCUAUAAGACUUGGAUAACUUCGGGAAACCGUAGCUAAUACCGGAUAAUAUAUUUAACCGCAUGGUUCAAUAGUGAAAGACGGUUUUGCUGUCACUUAUAGAUUUAUCCGCGCCGCAUUAGCUAGUUGGUUAGGUAACGGCUUACCAAGGCGACGAUGCGUAGCCGACCUGAGAGGGUGAUCGGCCACACUGGAACUGAGACGCGGUCCAGACUCCUACGGGAGGCAGCAGUAGGGAAGCUUCCGAAAUGGGCGAAAGACUGAAGGAGGAACGCCGCGUGAGUGAUGAAGGGCUUCGGAUCGUAAAACGCUGUUAUUAGGGAAGAACAAAUGUGUAAGUAACGAUGCACGGCGUGACGGUACCUAAUAAGAAAGCAACGGCUAACUACGUG
rnacentral:rRNA from 1 species